CUGGGCACUUGUGUGUCUUACAGCAUAAAGCUCAUCGACCAGCCGCUUUCAAUCUCUCCAUAUGUAUCAAGGCAAAUGUGCACAGGCUUGGUUGUCUGAUUUUCUACGACUUUUCUAUUUAUGAUUAUCUUUGUUAUGGUACUCAAACACGGCUUGCUAGUUAGAUUCAGGUUCCGAUUUCAACCGGUUCGUUCCGGGCCCUCCUUUUUUUUGCUUCGAUUUUUCUUCUUCGCUCCUUCGUGUUCGAAGAUGGUGGCGCAAAACGGCGCUGAACAGUGAUACAUAAUAAUGGCACGAAAGAGCAGCGGCAUUGCCCCUUGAUGGCCGACUUGACAAGCCCGGCUCCAGGAUUGACCACACUAUUUUUGGGCAUAUAUGCUUACUUCUUGAUGGCCUUCUCUUAACCAACAACCUCUUCAACAUCAGACAUUUACUUGACAGCGCGUUUGACGCCCACACCGGAUGUCGUGUUCUAGCUUCCGCGGAGUACGAAUAUGUGGGCACCUCACUUCAAACCCGGAGAGAUGUGCAUCGUGACGGGGAUCAACAGGGUUCAGCCGAGGAAAUAAUUUUCCGUACGACCUCUGAAAAUUUUCAGAUAAGUUACCUUUGUUGGCGGGCUUGAGCUUCUAGGGUAAGGCGCCCGAAAACGACGGCUACACGCGGUAAUUGAGGUUCACUGGGCAGGAAUUACAAAACGUUCAAAUGCGACAUUUUCGUCCCUCAUCCUCCUAAUUUGGUGAUCCAUCCAUGUCGCAACAUCAUGAAUUGUUGGUCAUUUUUAGCAUAGAUCUUUCCGCUGAGCCAAUCUGAUGCUGAGCAUCCCUACGUACAGUACAUGC
rnacentral:sRNA from 2 species